rnacentral:rRNA from 1 species
CCUACGGGUGGCAGCAGUGGGGAAUAUUGCACAAUGGGGGAAACCCUGAUGCAGCGACGCCGCGUGUGUGAAGAAGUAAUUCGUUAUGUAAAGUACUAUCAGCAGGGAAGAAAAUGACGGUACUUGUGUAAGAAGCCCCGGCUAACUACGUGCCAGCAGCCGCGGUAAUACGGAGGGGGCAAGCGUUAUCCGGAUUUACUGGGUGAAAAGGGAGCGUAGACGGCAGUGCAAGUCUGGAGUGAAAGGCGGGGGCUCAACCCGCGGACUGCACUGGAAACUGAACGGCUGGAGUGCAGGAGAGGUAAGUAGAAUUCCAAGUGUAGCGGUGAAAUGCGUAGAGAUUAGGAGGAACACCAGUGGCGAAGGCGGCUUACUGGACUAUAACUGACGUUGAGGCUCGAAAGCGUGGGGAGCAAACAGGAUUAGAUACCCGGGUAGUC